AUAGAUACCCUGGUAGUCCACGCCGUAAACGUUGGGCGCUAGAUGUGGGGACCAUUCCACGGUUUCCGUGUCGCAGCUAACGCAUUAAGCGCCCCGCCUGGGGAGUACGGCCGCAAGGCUAAAACUCAAAGGAAUUGACGGGGGCCCGCACAAGCGGCGGAGCAUGCGGAUUAAUUCGAUGCAACGCGAAGAACCUUACCAAGGCUUGACAUGCACCAGAAUGGGCCAGAAAUGGUCAGCUCUUUGGGCACUGGUGUACAGGUGGUGCAUGGUUGUCGUCAGCUCGUGUCGUGAGAUGUUGGGUUAAGUCCCGCAACGAGCGCAACCCUCGUUCUAUGUUGCCAGCACGUGAUGGUGGGAACUCAUAGGAGACUGCCGGGGUCAACUCGGAGGAAGGUGGGGAUGACGUCAAAUCAUCAUGCCCCUUAUGUCUUGGGCUUCACGCAUGCUACAAUGGCCGGUACAAAGGGCUGCGAUGCCGUAAGGUGGAGCGAAUCCCAAAAAGCCGGUCUCAGUUCGGAUUG
rnacentral:rRNA from 1 species